ACAAGCAGAAGCCACUGCUCACACAAAGGCCACCACAGAAGUCACAGGCUGAGAUUGGUGAAUGUGGCUAUAAAAGGCAAGCGGCUGUGAGAUGGUAUCUCUACAGAAACAGCACAAAAAAGCACGUGGAGAACAGGAAGGAAAAGUAGGAAAAAAUAACUACUAUGAAUGAAAGGAAGAGUCAACAAGGAAAAACAAAAGCAGGAACAUUUUAGGCAGAACACGUCUGAAAAUAACCUCAGAGGUCUCAUAGGAGACUUUUAUUUCUGCCUUGUUUCUUACAAUAUUCAGGAUCUGCUGGACAAGAUAUCAGAGAAGACUAAAAUCAGUAUGGAUGAAGCAAGUAUUACAAGCUUCUUGAUUUCCAGGCUUAUGCACAAUCUUUGAGAUAAACAGGAUUGAAGGAAGCUGUAAAGAGACUCCUAGAGAACUAACAAGGAGCACUAAAACAAUAUUGCACACGUCAGUCUCAGGAAUCUACACAUGUUGUAAGUGAAGUUCCAUCUGGUCACAACAUCAUGGAUCAUCUGGGCAACAGCCAGGCUUCAUUUGCUUCAUGUCCUGGACAGCAUGAUGGCAGCCGGAUAGGAAUAUGUGAGUGACUGACCAACCGCAACCGAGCUGGCCCCAGAGGAUUACUCUAAUAAUGGCUCUUCACUAUGGAGCAGUGGUGUCUGUGUGACUUGUUUUCUUUUUUAAAUGACUCAAGCUGGGCUCUGUGGGAUUGCUGAGCUUUUCUAUUAGGUGCUGGCAAUGUACUGGAGGCACAGCUUGGCUCUGCUUUAACAGAACUGGAAGUGUAUGUUGACUAUGCAUGAAAUUCUUCCCAAAACAUUCUUGUAAGCAAAGACCCAAAGAAACCCUGUGUAUUUCAGCUGCUUUUCCAGGCUUGUACUGCAUGUAUUUCACAGCAAAGCAAAGAGCAUACAAAACGCCAUCAUACCAGGGUUUCACAAAUGCUUACCCCUGUUUUGUGUGAGGGCAAAAAAAGAGGUAAAGUGAAUGAUUGACUUAAUUCUGCUCAACCCCAGCUCUGAGCACCUCAGGGAGAUGCCCUGCAGCCAACAUUGUCUCCAGGGCAGCAGUGGGUGGGCAGAGACCUUUGGGCAGCACUGCCUGUCUGCUCUUGGGCAGUGCUGCUCUGGAGGGGGGUGCUGAGCCAGGAGAGAGAGGCAUGCAACUGCCAGCACCAUGCAAUGCCAGGUGCUCACAGGGGCAGUGCUCACUAGGGAUGCCUUUCUUCUUGGGCUGGAAAGCUAUUCAAAUCCUCAUACAGUAAUAAGUGCUUCCCAAAAUCUAUCCAUACUCUACUGGUAGGACUAAACAAUGGUUUUUAAGUGCAAUAAUGCUUGUUUUGGACAGCAAAUGUAUCCAGUUAGUGAUAUAGAAUUUAGUCAUUUGUUUCUGCUUCAUAAUGUUGGCAUCUUCCAUAAAAGUGUGUUGUAAGACAUUGGAGACUUCUUACCUUUUCUUAUGUGUUUAUCUAUCCUAUACCUAACGAUUCUGACGAGGGCACGCACAGCUUUCUGCAGAGAUGCGGUAUCAACGAGACCAGCAGCAUCACUAUCGGCGGAGAGUUGUGCCCGAGCCUGCGGAGGAGACCAACGACCCUCGAAGCCCUCAUAGCUCGCAGCUCGCAGUGGCAGUGGCCCUGCCGAUCCGCUUGGAGUCACUGCAGCACAGCACCUGCCCGCUGCCGGGCCCACUGCUGCUCGUCACCGGCAGUUCGUUUCGAAUUCGUUAGGUGAUGAGCUUGAGUAGAAAUAGAGCCGAGAAAGCUACAUACAUUUCGGCAGGCAUUUGAGGACUACCUUUUUGCUUUGCAGAGUGAAAUAAAAGCGAAAUGUUUGCUCACUGGGGGAAAAGAAUGGAAUUAGUUUGUUAGUUCCUGUUUGUGGUUAGGGAUGCACUUGUGAACCACCCCACUGAAAAGCUGGGAUUGCUCACACGCGUCCCUGUGACUGUAGGCAUGUGCUUCGUCAGGGCUGAGAGAGGAGAGGAAGUGGGGAAAAUACAACUUUCUCAAUACCAAAUGAAGAUCCCUCAGAAUGGGCAGAAAUGGACAGAGCAUGGCUGCUGGGAAAGGUACUGUCCUCAGUUUGUUAGCUAAGGGCAGCUAACGGUGUAUUAUUAUAUUUCACAGAAUCAUCGAGGUUGGGAAAAACCUCCAAGAUCAUCCAGUCCAACUGUCCACCUACCACCAGUACCACACUGACAUACCAAACGAGAUGUCCAGAGCACUGUUGUUGCCCCUAUUGCCACAUCUCUUUUCGUCUGAAGUGUUCUCCUGUAAGCAGUGACGUAUUUACUUCUCAACAGUACUCUGAGUCAUCAGAGAUAUGCGUAUUCCGUUUAUAUUGCAAAGGAUUGAAACAGAAUGCAAAAGUGAUACUGAGCGGGCUGCAAUUACAGCUUGUAAUUCUCUGGGCAAUUCUAGAGGGACUGCAGCAGUUGUUAAAUAAUAGUAGUUGUUGGAAUGGUGAAUGCGGCUUGAAAUGCUGAGCAGGAAUGAAGCUACUUCUGUUUGUCUGAUAACAACAAGAGGCAGAUUAAACUGACUUCAAAAUGCACAUCAAAUCUUGUCAUUCUGAAAAGCAAAUUCUCUGUUUAAAGAUGCUACGAAAUUUACAAUUAAAAAAUUGCUGUAAAAACAAAGUACCUUUCUGCAGCAAUUGCUGCAUAAUGAUGUGCUCACAUAUAUUUCUUGCUGGGCUGACAUUUGCUGCUUAGGAGUGAUUCAUUUACUUUUCUCAGGGAAUCUGAAGUUGUUUUCAGCAUGAAGGAGGUAAUGAUCGGCAGCUGACUCUGCCGACAGUGGAGGAUCCUAUCAUGAAUGUAUCUGUAAAAGAGCCUCAUUACCACAAACAAGGAUCACAAUACCUUAGAGCAUUUUGAGUGUAAAAAAGCUCAUGGUGCUGUGCAGAAAUUCAUCAAAAUGGAGACUUCCACAGAUUAGAUAGAGAUCUGAAAACCUUUCACACACAGAUAGUCAGGAAAAAUGCUAAA